rnacentral:rRNA from 1 species
UAUAUUCCUUUUUAUCAAAAGAUAAAAAGGGAAAGAUUUAUUGGUAAGAGAUUAGCCUGUAUUGUAUCAGUUAGUUGGUGGGGUAAUGGCCUACCAAGACGAUGACGCAUAACUGGUUUGAGAGGAUGAUCAGUCACACUGGAACUGAGACACGGUCCAGACUCCUACGGGAGGCAGCAGUGGGGAAUAUUGCACAAUGGACGAAAGUCUGAUGCAGCAACGCCGCGUGGAGGAUGACACAUUUCGGUGCGUAAACUCCUUUUAUAUAAGAAGAUAAUGACGGUAUUAUAUGAAUAAGCACCGGCUAACUCCGUGCCAGCAGCCGCGGUAAUACGGAGGGUGCAAGCGUUACUCGGAAUCACUGGGCGUAAAGAGCGUGUAGGCGGAUUGAUAAGUUUGAAGUGAAAUCCUAUAGCUUAACUAUAGAACUGCUUUGAAAACUGUUAAUCUAGAAUGUGGGAGAGGUAGAUGGAAUUUCUGGUGUAGGGGUAAAAUCCGUAGAGAUCAGAAGGAAUACCGAUUGCGAAGGCGAUCUACUGGAACAAUAUUGACGCUGAGACGCGAAAGCGUGGGGAGCAAACAGGAUUAGAUACCCUGGUAGUCCACGCCCUAAACGAUGUACACUAGUUGUUGUGAGGCUCGACCUUGCAGUAAUGCAGUUAACACAUUAAGUGUACCGCCUGGGGAGUACGGUCGCAAGAUUAAAACUCAAAGGAAUAGACGGGGACCCGCACAAGCGGUGGAGCAUGUGGUUUAAUUCGACGAUACACGAAGAACCUUACCUGGACUUGACAUAGUAAGAAUGAUUUAGAGAUAGAUUAGUGUCUGCUUGCAGAAACUUGCAUACAGGUGCUGCACGGCUGUCGUCAGCUCGUGUCGUGAGAUGUUGGGUUAAGUCCCGCAACGAGCGCAACCCUCGUCCUUAGUUGCUAACAGUUCGGCUGAGAACUCUAAGGAGACUGCCUACGCAAGUAGGAGGAAGGUGAGGAUGACGUCAAGUCAUCAUGGCCCUUACGUCCAGGGCUACACACGUGCUACAAUGGGGUAUACAAAGAGCAGCAAUACGGUGACGUGGAGCAAAUCUCAAAAAUGCCUCCCAGUUCGGAUUGUAGUCUGCAACUCGACUACAUGAAGUUGGAAUCGCUAGUAAU